rnacentral:lncRNA from 1 species
UUUCAUCUUUCGAUCUAACGAUGAAAUUCAAUAUUCUGAUAUAUUCAAAACCUUUGCAAUUAAGAGUUCCAUACUUCAUCGUCAUGACUUUCGAUGAAUUCAGAUCGGGCCGGAUCGGGUCAUUGGGCUAAAUAACGUCUCAAAAGCCCAAAUCCCAAUGGUUAUUCGAAAACUCAUUUCUGGCGUGAAACCAGUAUCUCUCGGAUCUGUCUUAUUAUUCAUAAACGAAAUUGAAAAAAUGCAACCAAAUCUUCAGACCCAAUUAUUCUACACAAAAAGAAGCACCAGAUCUAUCUCCAUUACUCGUCAAUUUUGACGAUUAUUUUGAAAAAUUCCCAAAAGGGCCAGAAAUCGCCGUCACAUACAAGCGCAGAACUCCAUGCUUGGGCAGGUACACGACCCAGAUUCCUGAUUAAUUAAAUUCGAAAAUCUUUUUUUUUUUGGGUAUUACUCAAUUAGAAGACUCAUAAGAGGUCCACUUUAAGCGAUUUUCUAUUUUGGUAGUGCUAAUUUUUAUGUCAUUAGUUUUGUGUGGAUAUGUUGUGGGUGUCCAUGCAAUUGAAUUUUCCGAAAGAAAUAUCCAGACGACUAUAAUUUAGAUUUUGUGUACAUUUAUCGUGUAUAUUUGUAUGUGUUUUCUUCAACUAUGUUUGAACCAUAUUAAUAUUUAGUAAUUUUCGGGAUUUUUUGGGAAAUUUUUCAAAUAUAUUGUUGACAAUGAGAAUGACCGUGGAGUGUGGGAAGGUUUUGAACAAGAAGAGUAACUAUGCCCAAUCACACUUGGAGGUUGGUCAAUCUAAUUUUCAAUUGCACAAUGUUGUUUCUAGAGUUUGAAUUCACUCCUUCGAAAGCAAUCCGACAGAAUUACCUGAAUGCUAGAAUUGAUCAACAGAAUCCAAAAUUAUAAUUCGAGCCUGCCGACUUCACGAUGUUUUCUUAAAACGAAUUUGCUGCCUUCAAUGAUGCUAAAGGCGUCCAACAAUCGUUUCCCAGGAUAGAACGAAUUUUCGUCUCCUACGGAAGCAGCACUGCAGUCUGUAGGAAUUCUAACGAACUCAACGAAGUGCGUUUUACUUCGAGACAAUAUCAGAACGAGAGAGAGGGAAAUGAGAUUCAAAGCACAGAAAGUUUGCAAUGAAAAUGGUGUGAAUUUUUGGAUAGAAAGGCUGGCUAUUUAUAGACUUGUUCGUGGCCAUUCGAACAGUCAUCACCUUUCAGACAAUCCUCAAAAAUUCGAACAGACAUACUGUUCUUAAAAGUCGUGUCUGCUAAAUCGGUUAACAGUCGACUAACAGUUGACUGUUUGGUCGGUAAACAGUCGACUGUUAAAAGAAAAUAAAACACCCGGAAUAAGCCAAAAUUUAAAUUUCAUUUUGUACCCAAGAAUUUGAUUAUUUACAAUUUGGUCCAAAAUUUUAAAUAAAUUUUGUCCAAAAAGUUAAUAUAGUGUAAAGGUCCACCUGCACCCGCACCGAACCGGACUCGGACUAGGGCACGGGCACGUGCUCGUGCUCGUGCCCGUGCCGUGCCGAGCUGAGCCGGCCGGUCGGAUGGACGGCUGCGAGUGCGCGCACGUGUAUGUUUAUGACCGAACCCAAUAAGAUAUAGGUCUUCUCCCUUCCAAAAACUAUUGGUACCCCUUGGGGCCCAAACCCAAUUCCAAACUUCCACCUUAUAAACCACACCAAAGUUUCCUAACUUUCCUACGUGGGAUAAGUGUUUGGCAAAUCAAAUUCUUCCAUAAUCCUUAGUUUAUGUGAGUUAUUUUAACACUUAAUAUUUCAUUCAAUUUUAAAUGGUUUUCGAUAAAUAAAUAUAUCACGUUAACCAUCUCGCGGAGUAGAACGUGAAUAUGCUAGGUCCCGUAUUAUUUAAAAGUUGGGUCCCACUGAAAUUUGGGCUCAAAGUUGACCCAUUAAACCAUUUUUUCCAACAAUCCCCCACAUGCAUGAAAUAUGUUGGCCUUUAUUCCAAACGAUAACAUCUGAUAUGUUUUUCAAAAGAAAAAUUGAAGAAGACUGCAUCGGGAUAAGUAGUCAAUGACUUUGAACUUUUCCUAGUAAAAUCUAUCGAAAUUCCUUAGCCAAUCGAUAGCAAGUUGCUUUGAACAGUCAGCCGUUUAUGGAAACCUAGACAAUAGAAGUCACACAAUUUUUCUUCGAACACAGUUGGUUCUCACGUUUGUGUCCAUUUUGGCCUUGGACACCUCCUGGUUCAUGAGUGAUUUUUAGAGAAUUCAUGUUCACCUACUUCUCUUAGAAGCGGCCCCUUCUCACUCACAUAGGUGAUUUCCAUAAAGAGUAUUCUACUAUACUCCACUUGAACAAAUCAAGAUAUAGAAAUCAUUAAAAGCGUAUCUUAACCUAUUUUGCGGCAGCUGGGCACUGGCUCAUCAUAGGAAUGGGUAGAAGUAAAAUCUUCCCAGUGCAUACUAAGUUUUUCACAGUUCGGUUGUCCCAUUGAACUUAGAUCUUGGGAUCUCCAGUCAACUAGGUUGGGUUGCCACCAUGAAAACUUUUGAUUAUUUUAUUAGUUUUAAUCCCAUCCCCUUCGAUGAACUUUCGACUUGCUCUCUUGUUAAACUUUUAGUUAGCGGAUCCGCGAUAUUCUCUUUUGAUUUCACAUACUCUAUAGAGAUAAUGCCUGUAGAGAGCAAUUGUCUAACAGUAUUGUGUCUACGACGUAUAUGUCGAGAUUUACCGUUGUACAUUGCAUUUUGUGCCCUUCCAAUUGCUGAUUGACUAUCCCAAUGGAUACAUAUAGCAGGCACAGGUUUUAUCCAACAUGGAAUAUCUUCUAGAAAGUUUCGUAGCCAUUCGGCUUCUUCUCCUGCUUUGUCUAAUGCAAUGAAUUCAGAUUCCAUUGUUGAUCUAGCUAUACAUGUCUGUUUUGAAGAUUUCCAUGAUAUUGCAGCACCUCCAAGUGUAAAGACAUAUCCACUUGUUGAUUUGGAGUCUUUAGUAUCUGAUAUCCAAUUUGCAUCACAGUAUCCUUCAAGUACUGCUGGAUAUCUCGAAUAGUGUAAUCCAAAAUUUUGGGUAUGUUUUAAAUACCCUAAAACUCUAACAAUAGCUUUCCAAUGAUCAGUGCUUGGAUUACUUGUAUAUCGACUUAGCCUACUAAUUGAAUAGGCAAUAUCAGGUCGAGUGCAAUUCAUGACAUACAUUAAACUGCCAAUGAUACGAGAGUAUUCCAAUUGAGACUUACUAUCACCAGUAUUGGAAACAAGAUGCAUACUAACAUCCAUAGGUGUUUUCAUAGGAAUAAUAUUAUAUUUCUUGAAUUUAUCAAGAAUCUUCUCAAUGUAGUGUGAUUGAGACAAUAUGAGACCAUCAGAUGUUCUAGAAAUUUUAAUUCCUAAUAUAACAUCGGCCACACCUAAAUCCUUCAUUUCAAAUUUACUUGUUAGCAUCCUUUUUGUAGUUUGAAUUAUGGUAUCAUUGUUACCCAUAAUCAACAUGUCAUCUACAUAUAAACAUACCAUGACAUAUCCAUUUGGAGUGUUCCUGACAUAAACACAUUUGUCACACUCGUUAAUUUUGAAACCAUUUGACAUCAUAACCAUGUCAAAUUUUUCAUGCCAUUUCUUAGGAGCUUGCUUUAAUCCAUAUAAUGAUUUAACAAGUCGACAUACUUUCUUUUCUUGUCCUGAGGCCACAAAUCCUUCAGGUUGCUCCAUAUAAAUUUCUUCAUCCAAUUCCCCAUUCAAAAAUGCCGUUUUAACAUCCAUUUGAUGUAUAUCCAAACCAUUCAAUGCUGCUAUUGCAAUAAGCAUACGUAUGGAUGUGAUUCUUGUCACAGGAGAAUAGGUAUCGAAAUAAUCAAGACCUUCUUUUUGCUUAUAGCCUUUAGCGACAAAUCUUGCUUUAUAUUUGUCAAUUGAUCCAUCUGCUUUCAUUUUCCUUUUGAAAAUCCAUUUACAUCCCAAAGGCUUAUUACCGGGAGGGAGGUCUACUAAUUCCCAAGUAUGAUUUUGUAGUAUGGAUUCAAUUUCACUAUGAACAGCUUCUUUCCAAUAUGAAGCUUCGGUUGAUGACAUAGCCUCCUUAAAACUCUGAGGUUCAUUUUCUAACAAAUAUGUUAGAAAAUCAGGCCCAAAGGAGGUUGACGUCCUAGCCCUCUUGCUUCGUCUAGGUUGUUCAUUUAUAGAUUCUUGAUCUAUAGUCUCUUCGUUUUCACGAGAUCUCUUUUGUGAAUUUGAUUCACCUUGCAUGUUAUAAGGAAAAGUAUUUUCGAAAAAUGUAGCNNUCCCUUGAUUCAAUAAUUGUAUUAACAUGCAUAUCAGGUAUUUCAGACUUAUAUACCAUAAAUCUGUACGCAUUACUAUGGUAGGCAUAACCAAUGAAUACACAAUCAAUGGUUUUAGGUCCUAUCUUAACCCUUUUAGGUUUAGGAACUACUACCUUAGCCAAACAUCCCCAUACCUUCAAGUAUUUAUAAUUAGGUUUGUGACCUUUCCAUACUUCAUAAGGUAUUUUUUGCGUUUUUCGAUGUGGUAGUUUGUUAAGAAUAUAAUUGGCAGAAAGCAAGGCUUCCCCCCACAAGUUCUGCGAUAAUCCAGAACUUAUUAACAUAGCAUUCAUCAUCUCCUUCAAUGUUCGAUUCUUGCGUUCAGCAAUACCAUUAGAUUGAGGAGAAUAAGGCGCGGUAGUUUGAUGAAUAAUUCCGUGUUCCGAACAGAAUUUCUCAAAUGGUGAAUCAUAUUCACCACCUCUAUCACUUCUUAUGGCCUUAAUCUUUUUGCUAAGUUGAUUUUCAACUUCUAACUUGUAGUGUUUAAACACUUCAAUUGCUUCGUCUUUGCUUUUGAACAAAUACACAUAGGAAUAUCGAGUACAAUCAUCAAUAAAAGUGAUAAAGUACUUAUUACCUCCUCUAGUUUGAACAAAUUUUAAAUCACAUGUCGGUGUGAAUUAAAUCUAGGGGUUCGGUACUUCUUUCAAACAGAACGAAAGGGUAGACGUGACAUUUUGGCUUCUACACAUAUAUCGCAUUUGUGAUUAUGAUUUAAAUCACACUUUGGUAAUAAAUCUAAUUUGAUUAGUCUACGCAAAGUGUUAUAACUUGUAUGUCCUAAUCGUUCAUGCCAAAUGUUAAAUGACUUAAGCAAGUAAGAAGAAGAUGUAUUCUUAUUCAUAAUUGGAGGUACAACAGUUAUUACAUUCAAUUUAAAGAGCCCCUCAUUUAGGUAGCAUUUUCCUACAAACAUUUCAUUCUUUGAUAAUACAAAUUUGUCCGAAACAAAUACUAGUUUAAACUCAUUCUUACUUAGUAGAGAACCAGCUACCAAGUUUUUCCUAAUAUCGGGCAUAUGAAGAACAUCAUUCAGAGUGAGCUCUUUUCCACUUAUCAUUUUUAGCACUAUCUUCCCAUAUCCUUCUACCUUGGAAGAUGACGAGUUUCCCAUGUAAAGAUGCUCAUCAUGAUCCAUUGCUUUGUAGGUAGAGAACAUCCCGCGGUUUGAGCAUAUGUGACGAGUAGCUCCGGUAUCUACCCACCACUCCUUAGUGUUUCCAAUUAAGUUGCAUUCAGAGACGACCGCAGAAAGAUUCAUGUCUUGUACCUUAUCAGUAAGGUUCUCAUGUUCUGUUACAUUGGCCUGGUUAGUUUUUCCCUUCACAUUUUUUGGCUUUCGACAAUCCUUGGAUCGAUGUCCUGCCUUGCCACAAUUGUAACAGUUGCCUUUAAACUUUUUAGCAGUUUUUGAAGAAUCAAUUUGGCCUUCCCCAUUGUGCUUCCUCUUUUUGCUUGUCUUGAAGCCUCCUUUUACAAUGUUGGUUUUUGAUUCCAUCGAAUUAGAUGCACAAUUCCUUUUUUCCGUUUUGCGAUUGUCUUCUUCUAUUCUCAAACGGACAAUGAUAUCUUCAAGUUUCAUUUCCUUCCGCUUGUGCUUGAGGCAAUUCUUGAAAUCCUUCCAUGAAGGUGGUAAUUUCUCAAUUAGUGCAGCGACUUGGAAUGAUUCACUUAGUUUCAUUCCUUCGGCAUGGAUGUCGCUAAAUAUGAUCUGAAGUUCUUGAACUUGGGAUAUGACAGUCUUGUUGUCAACUAUUUUAUAAUCCAAAAACCGACCGACAAUGAAUUUCUUCGUGCCGGCAUCUUUGGUUUUGUACUUUGUGUCCAAAAGAUUCCCACAAUUCUUUUGCGGACUUAGCAUUGCAGUACACAUUAUAUAAUGUGUUAUCCAGUCCAUUAAGCACAUAAUUUUUGCAUAAGAAAUCAGAAUACUUCCAUGCAUCAACCGCAGCCAAUUUUUCAGCAUCACUAUCUUGCUCGAUAUAUGAAGGCGCGUUUUCUUUGAGAAAUUUAGUCAAAUUUAAUAUCGUCAGAUAAAAAAGCAUUUUUUGUUGCCAACGCUUGAAAUCUAACCCAUUAAACUUUUCUGGUUUUUCCCCGAUCGUAUUGGGGAGUGUGGUACCACAAGUUGCCAUUUCUGAAUGCAAUCAGAAGAUCAACGUUAAGAAGGAGUAGAAACAGAAACAAAUAAUAAUUGAAAAAAAAAAAGAAAUUUAUUUUAAGAUUGUUGUUUUUAGAGUUUGAAUUCACUCCUUUGAAACAAUCCGACAGAAUUACCUGAAUGCAAGAAUUGAUCAACAGGAUCCAAAAUUAUAAUUCGAGUCCAUCGACUUCACGAUAUUUCCUUAAAACGAAUUUGCUACCUUCAAUGGUGCUAAAGGCGUCCAGCAAUCGUUUUCCAGGAUAGAACGAAUUUUCGUCGCCUACGGAAGCAGCACUGUAGUUUGUAGAAGUUCCAACGAACUCAACGAAGUGCGUUUUACUUCGAGACAAUAUCAGAACGAGAGAGAGGGAAAUGAGAUUCAAAGCACAGAAAGUUUGCAAUGAAAAUGAUGUGAAUUUUCCAAUAGAAAGGCUGGCUAUUUAUAGACUUGUUCGUGGCCAUUCGAACAGUCAUCACCUUUCAAACAAGCCUCAAAAAUCCGAAUAGACAUACUGUUCUUAAAAGUCGUGUCUGUUAAGUUGGUUAACAGUCGACUAACAGUCGACUGUUUGGUUGAUAAACAGUCGACUAUUUGGUCGGUAAACAGUCGAAACAGUCGACUGUUAAAAGAAAAUAAAACACCCAAAAUAAGCCAAAAUUUAAAUUUCAUUUUAUACCCAAGAAUUUGAUUAUUUACAAUUUGGCCCAAAAUUUUAAAUAAAUUUUGUCCAAAAAGUUAAUAUAGUGUAAAGGUUCACCCGAACCUGCACCGAACCGGACUCGGGCACGGGCUCGUACCAUGCCGAGCCGACCGGUUGGACGGACGGCGGCGACGGCGGCGGCGCGCACGCGUGUGGGUCUAUGACCGAACCCAAUAGGAUAUAGAUUUUUCCCCUUCCAAAAACUAUUGGUACCCCUUGGGGCCCAAACCCAAUUCCAAACUUCCACCUUAUAAACCACACCAAAGUUUCCUAACUUUCCUAUGUGAGAUAAGUGUUUGGCAAAUCAAAUUCUUCCAUAAUCCUUAGUUUAUGUGGGUUACUUUAACACUUAAUAUUUCAUUCAAUUUUAAAUGAUUUUCGAUAAAUAAAUAUAUCACGUUAAUCAUCUCGCGGAGUAGAACGUGAAUAUGCGAGGUCCCGUAUUAUUUAAAAGUUAGGUCCCACUGAAAUUUGGGCUCAAAGUUGACCCAUUAAACCAUUUUUUCCAACACACACAUGUAAGACUUAAGACAUGCGGGUUCAAGUAUGCUACUGGCGAUGAAGGUGAUGAGAGGUUUCACAAGACAUUUCACAAGGAUAGUAUUUCUUUUAAGGUAGUUGGUCUAGAAAUUACACAGGAAAGAUUCGCGUAUGAUUUUUGCUUAUUUUGGUCUUUGUUUACUUAUACAUCGCUUGAUCAUACAGAGUUUGCACAAUGAAAGGAUUAUUGAUGUGCCCUAGCUUGAAAAGGUGCACAUUAUUUUGGUGCAAAGAGAUGAUCCUCAUGCUCAGCAAAAUAAGGUACUUCAUUGCUGAAUGUUCUACUUUUAAUUUGAUGGAAAAUACUUAGUUCAAUUUCUCAAUCUUUUAACAAGUUUAUACAAAGAGUGAAUGUUCAGAUUCAGGAGUUUUCAAGAUGAUGGAAAUGGAGCUUGAAGAUGGAUGGAUACUUAAAGAAUAUUUUUGUUGUGUUUGUGUGUCUCUUAUGGAUCCUAAGUAGCAUACUGGAUUCAACUAAUGGUUUAUUAAAGUUCACGAAAAUUUAAUUGUGUUGAUAACUGGAAAUGGUAAAAUGAAGCUUUAGUUACUUGUAAGAGUUCGAACUGCAUUUAAUGAACGUAUACAUUCUAAAGUUCUACACAUACGGAAACUGGACUCAUGAUAUAGACAGUACAAAAGUUCAUCAAUAUAGUAGAUAAUAAUAGGGAGUUUCUGUAAGUGUUAUGCCCUAAGUUCAAUCAACCUUGAACAUAAAUAUUUUUAAUAUAUAAUUAAUGCAAUUUAAUUGUAAAUCUAUUAUUUAAUUAAUAGACAAAUAAAUUAAAUUAUAGAGUUCGUAGAUUCAAAUUUUCGUAAUUUGCUAAUUAGGGGUUGUAAUUGUGAGAUACAAAUUACAUAUAACUGAAUCCUAAAUCGUCCGUGAUCGUAAGUAAUAACGAGAUACGGAUAUCGUUAUUACGGAUAGAUCGUCACGUGUGACAUUUCUUACUUGUGAAAUUAGUAACUAAUCUCACAAGUUAAAGUGUGGUGACACUUGAAUGAAUACGUGGAUGUUUUGUUGUAGAACAAAACAUUGGAGACCCGCAAAGAGAUUCCACAUGGAUAACUAUCUGAGUGUCAGUGGUUAAUCUCUAACGUUCGGUAGUGGGAUUUGUCCUUUGACUUGAAGUCGUUAUAGUAUCUUAGAUGAGAACAAUCAUGCCUUGACGGUAUUGGAUGUUACUCUGUCAAGGGCCGCUAAUACGGCAUCGUUUGGGUAUGUCAAGAAUCGUAUGAAGGUUGUGAAUGACCAAUAGAGGAUUCGUCACUCUUAGAUAGUAAGAAAUUAUGAUAUGCAUUUCAUUCAAUUAAGUCGAUAAUAAAAUCCUUGGUCAAGGUGUACUCAUAAGUGGAACAGGAGUUUUCGACUUAUAUUGACUUAAUAGUGGAAUGAAAGAUAUGACUGAUAAUCGAGAUUGACACACUUUCAUAUUUCAUAAUUGAUUGAAUCAUAUUGACGAAGGGAUUAUAGUUUCAUGGUCAACAAACAAGUUUGAUUUUGUCAUACCACGUGAAAUUUCCCAUCACAUGUAUUGCCCUGACAUAUUGCUAGAUAUCAAUUUGGGACGGCAAGUGUGAAUUGGUGAUAAAUUAAAAAUGUAUUUUAAUUUAUCAAUUUUGAUUAGAUCAAAAUAAUAUUUCAUGUCGUUAGGCAUCGUGAUCGGGAACCUGAUCGGUCACACAAAAAAACGAAUUGGAAGAUUGUGAUUUGUUAAUUAAUUAAUUUAUCUAAAUUAAAAAGGUAUUUUAAUUUAUCAAUUUUAAUUAAUCAAAAUAAUAUUUCACGUCGUUAGGUAUCGUGAUAUAAAACCUGAUAGAUAGCACAGAAAAAGAGAACUGGAAGAUUGUGAUUUGUCAAUUAAUUAAUUUAACAAGCGUUGGAUAAAUUAAUUAAUUGGGUUGCUUAUUUAUAUGCAUGAAUUAAUUAAUUCAUUAACCUAAUUUAAUUAAAUAUUGGAUCGGGUUAGGUUAAGCCCGUUUGUGCUUAUAUAAGUAUGAUUAGGAUUUUCAAAUUUGUAGAGAAUUUAUUAUUCUUGCUAGCACCAGAGGAAAACUCUAAUCCUACAAUCUUAUUCUUUAUGUAGAUCACUGUUGGAGGUUGGACAAUUUGACAAUUGUAGGAGGCAGAUCAAGGUUGCUGGAACAACGAAAAAGCAAAGAGGUUUGCAAAUCUAGAAAAUAUAUCACUUUCAUCACAAUUUCUAUAUAAACACAAAAAGAUCCAUGGUUGGAAUCGAAAAAAGUAGAUUCCCAACAGUUUCUUCUAUAAUUGUUUCUCAUUACUUUGUGUCUUUAAAAAAUUCAUCAUUGACAAAGGUGUUUUCUUUAUUAGAAAGUAGUUUGUGUCUUUGUGAAAAUUAUGAAUUAACAUGUUUAACCAUAUACGUAUUAUUUUCAUGAUCAAGGAAUUAUAUUAUAUGCUAUGUGUAGAUCAAAUUUGGCAUACAUCUUUGUCAUGGUUUCCAUUGGAGCGAAUAGGCAUUUGAAUCUCACAUUGAAAGUAUGAGCUUCCUUUGUGUGGUUUAUAUAGGCUUCAGUUCUCCAACCUCAAUGACUAGCUUUAGAGUAUAUUUGAUUAAUGAAUUAUAAGAUGCAUGUUUCAUUACUAGAUAUUAGUUAAUGAAAAUUUUAGGUUUUGGAUUGUUGGUUAUGCUUAUGUGUAUUUAUAGAACUUGGGAAAGUAUUUCCAUCAAAAACAUCCAUUCUAUACAGUUAAUCUCCUCAGUGCUCACCGACUAACACACAUAAAAUAUCUUAACAGUUUUUCCUUAUCUAUUCUUACUUUUGAUUAAUGAUUUAAUCUACAUAGUUAAUUUAACCACUAUGCAGUUAACAUUCAUUUUUCUUCAUUAUAAGAAGAUGGGACAUAAAGUUGCAUUUAAUCCUGGGGUAUGUUAGUGCAGUAGCUUGAUGCGUUACAACUUUUGGGACGAUAGCUUUGACGAGCAAUUUCUUUGUGAAGUGUCAUAGUUCACAUAUGUCAUGAUGCUUACAUGUUUACUAUGUUUAGGUGGCCAGCAAUCUGCUUCAUCAUCCUGCCAGCAAUCCAGAAAUCUUCAUCUUCUACUCUCAAGACUUUCAUAAGCAAGGUAAUAUUUAUUUUUUUCUAUACUUUAUCUGUUUCCCAUUUGAAUUUUCACUGGCGCCGAUGGAUUAAAGUAUUUCCCUACUUGUUUAUGUAGUGGGUUCCCUUUCGUUAUUUUCCAGUGGUCACAUUAUUUUUUAGUGUAUUUAUCUUUUCUAUAUGUAUUUUUCUGUUUCCUGAUGGUUUCGAUCAUUUGAAGUUAAACUAUACCGUUCCAGUCUAUUUAAACUUUCAUGCACAUUUUAAUUAUUUGUAAACUUAUAUACUCCAAAUUAAAUGUUCCAUUUCGGAUAUAUAAACAUUUGUAAUACUCCUACAGUAUAGGUAAAGUUGAAAUCGUAAAGUGAUGUUGUGAAUAUGUUGUAUUCUUUGAAAUUUUAUUGUUAAUUUCAUUAUGCUUUAUUUACUUCUCAAUUGAUGACAUUGGCACUCAUAAAUACAACCUAUCGGUUUUUAAAAUAUAUUUGCAAAUAUCACAUCUUCAAUUUAUUGCAUUUCCUCUCUUUGUCUAUCACUUCCCCAACACUCUUGCUAAAUGAAAUACUAAUUUGUUC